rnacentral:lncRNA from 1 species
AGCCGAUUUUGUAUAGUCGGAUUACAAGCGUGACUAUGUCGUGACAGAUUCUGAUGUAUCGGAUCAAAAUCCUAACAAUGUUCAGUGUUUUCUGGACGGUGUCCGGUUGAACGGGAAUGAUCUGAAGAAAUUUUUCAUUGCUGUUUUUCUGCCGAUUGAGUUCAGAAUGCAUCCAGAUCUUGUCGAUUGAGAACCGUCUUUGCCGACACCGUU